CUCUCUGCCAACUUUCAACUGAGAAUAUAAAAAAAAAUUGAUUCUGAAUGAGACUAUUUGAGUAGUGAAGUAUUUUAUGAAUAAUUUAAUGACGUCUCUCGGAAAUUUCUAUUUCAAUUCGAUACACCGAAAGGUUCUGCUAAAAAUAUUGAAUUUUAACGAAUAGUUGGGGAUUCUCUCCGAAAGGGCUAAAUGCAACAGGAUAACCAAUCGGCAUGGCACAAGAGCUGCUUUUGUGAUUGUAUUUUCCGUCUGAUUGGCUGGAGGAGGGACUGAUGGCUGUCCGACACUUUCGCCACCUUGAGAAGGAAAAAGAACUAGUGGUUCUAGGGGUUAUGAGGGCUUGAAUUUAGCAG